UCCCUGUACCCUCCUGACCUGACCUGGGCUGUGCUGGCAGGUUCUUCACAUCGUCUGUACGCCAUGUCAGUGGAGAUGUGGAAAUCAAAGACUGCUUAUUGGUGAAAUUGAGAAAAGGGAUAUUAAUGGCAACAAGGAUAAUGGCCAGCAGGAAACAAGCUUUGGCACAGAAGACAAAACAGACAUUCUUUCAACCACAACUGACUGCAGAAGGUGAGCCCUUUCAGCAGAGAUAAAGUUCAUUUAAAACCAAGAACAGGGGACUCUUCUUUACGCAAAGGGUUGCAGGAGUGUGGAACGAGCUACCCAGCCACGUGGUUGAAGCCCAGGGUGGCUUCUUUCAAGAAACAGCUGGAUGACAUCCCCCGAUCCAUUAGCUACUAACUACCAGAUGGACUGCACGGCCUCCUCUAACCUUGUAACC